UGGGACUUGGCUCCAGCGCAACACUGAAUACCUUCCCCAAGCUGCUUCCAAAGAAACUUCUCCUCACAAAUCAUUCCAUAAACACUUAGCAGGCUCUCAGGAAAGCGUGCACAGCUCUCACCCGGCUAUUAGGAGGCUCCUCACAACUAAAUUGAGACCAGGCAGCAGAGGCCUGUGCCAAAUCCCCCUUUCCUGCCCUCUUCCCACAUGGCGUCCUCCCCCCACCCUGGGCCCUUCAGUUCCAAGGGCCAAGGUCUCCUCCCCUGCUGCUCCGGCCUCUCCUCCGGCUCUGGCCCUCUCUCCCUGCUGAGCUCAGGGUGCCCUGCUUCCCUGGAAACCAGGCCCCCUCCCCAGCAUGGCUGCUGGGUUUCCAGAGAGCUCUCCUGGGCCACUAUGUAGAGCUAAAUCCUAAUGAGACUUCUGAGGGCCACACCACCAGGCCAGGCAUGGACAGACUGGGCCAGCCCACACCCCCACUCUGUCCCAGCCACCCCUCAGCAGAGGCUGCUGGUGCCUCUCAGGCUGG
rnacentral:lncRNA from 10 species